rnacentral:rRNA from 1 species
AUGUUGUUGCCUGAAAAGUAUUCUACAUCGAGUCCUGCUCUUCAACCACUGGAUGACACACAACGAAAAUUAGGGGUGGAAAAAAGGAUAAGCACAACCAAGAAUCUUCACUUCCAAGUUCCAACUAAUAAGCAAGACUUGUCACAACUAAUUAUGGCCCUAAAAUUGCUGGAGCUAUGGCUGAACAGUUGUUUGAACAGUUAUUCCAGAGCCACUGGGCAUACUGCACGCGUUCAUCAUAGCCUUGAGUCACUUGCCCUUGCUAGAAAAAGCUUGAACUGUGAGUGCAAUGAAGAGCUUGCGGGGUUCAUCUAUGGAAAAUUAAGGACCCUAAAGAAGAAGAAGAAAAAUCCAAAUAGAGCAAUUGAAACUAACAUCACGGGUCAACCAGUGUCAGUAGAGGACACCCAAAUCUCAUGGGAGGAGACCUCUACCAACUUGAGAAAUGACCACAUGUUCCAAAAUAAGGAAAUGGAUAGUCAUGGCAAUUUCACAAAUGGUGCACUACAAGAGGUCUCAUCUGGUGUUGAACAUAUGAUCUCAGGUGCAGGAACUUGUUUAAAGAAACUCACAGAGAAUGCCAUUUGUCAAAUGAUGAGCUUCCUAACAUGA